AACGCACAUUGCGCCCCCUGGUAUUCCGGGGGGCAUGCCUGUCCGAGCGUCAUUACUGCCCUCAAGCGCGGCUUGUGUGUUGGGCCUCGUCCCCCCGGGGACGUGCCCGAAAGGCAGUGGCGGCGCCGUGCCCGGUCCUCGAGCGUAUGGGGCUUCGUCACCCGCUCUGGAGGCCCGGCCGGCAGCCGCCGACCCAACCCCAAAUUUUUUACCGGUUGACCUCGGAUCAGGCAGGGAUACCCGCUGAACUUAA
rnacentral:misc_RNA from 1 species